rnacentral:miRNA from 1 species
AGACUUGGCUUCCGGCUGGAG